GAAGCAAGCCAGACAGUCGCUGGUUUUGUUGUAUUUGUCUAUACAAAUGCAGCAGGACGGGAGGAAGGUCCGGACUCCAUAGAGCAGGGUGACGGUUAACGACCGUCCGCCGAAAGUCGCAAGCGCAAGCCCAAGAUAUAAGGCGAGGAAUAGGGCCACAGAGACGAGCGUAUUUAGUUACGGUGAAACGCGGUAACCUCCACUCGGAGCAAUUUCAAAUAGGCACGCAUUGAUGCUGCUCGCGGAGCGUGCGGGUAGAAAGCUUGAGCCUUGGAGUAAUUCAAGGCCUAGAGGAAUGACUGUCAUAACCGGCUUUAGCAAUAGAGCCAGUCGUAACAGAAUCCGGCCUAUCGGCUUGCUUCACUU
rnacentral:RNase_P_RNA from 1 species